rnacentral:rRNA from 1 species
GUGAACGCUGGCGGUAGGCCUAACACAUGCAAGUCGAACGGCAGCACAGUAAGAGCUUGCUCUUACGGGUGGCGAGUGGCGGACGGGUGAGGAAUACAUCGGAAUCUACUUUUUCGUGGGGGAUAACGUAGGGAAACUCACGCUAAUACCGCAUACGACCUACGGGUGAAAGCAGGGGAUCUUCGGACCUUGCGCGAUUGAAUGAGCCGAUGUCGGAUUAGCUAGUUGGCGGGGUAAAGGCCCACCAAGGCGACGAUCCGUAGCUGGUCUGAGAGGAUGAUCAGCCACACUGGAACUGAGACACGGUCCAGACUCCUACGGGAGGCAGCAGUGGGGAAUAUUGGACAAUGGGCGCAAGCCUGAUCCAGCCAUACCGCGUGGGUGAAGAAGGCCUUCGGGUUGUAAAGCCCUUUUGUUGGGAAAGAAAGGCAGCAGGUUAAUACCCCGCUGUUCUGACGGUACCCAAAGAAUAAGCACCGGCUAACUUCGUG